UACGUAGGGUGCGAGCGUUAAUCGGAAUUACUGGGCGUAAAGCGUGCGCAGGCGGUUUUGUAAGCCAGAUGUGAAAGCCCCGGGCUUAACCUGGGAAUGGCAUUUGGGACUGCAAGGCUUGAGUGCGGCAGAGGAGACUGGAAUUCCUGGUGUAGCAGUGAAAUGCGUAGAGAUGUGGAGGAACACCGAUGGCGAAGGCAGCCCCCUGGGUCGACACUGACGCUCAUGCACGAAAGCGUGGGGAGCAAACAGG
rnacentral:rRNA from 1 species